rnacentral:rRNA from 1 species
GAUGAACGCUGGCGGCGUGCCUAAUACAUGCAAGUCGAGCGAAGUGGCGAACGGGUGAGUAACACGUGGGUGACCUGCCCUGCACUUCGGGAUAAGCCUGGGAAACUGGGUCUAAUACCGGAUAGUGUGGGAUGGGCCCGCGGCCUAUUAGCUCGUUGGUGGGGUAAUGGCCUACGAGGGCGGCGACGGGUAGCCGGCCUGGGAGGGUGGACGGCCACAUUGGGACUAAGACACGGCCCAGGCUCCUACGGGAGGCAGCAGUGGGGAAUAUUGCACAAUGGGCGGAAGCCUGAUGCAGCGACGCCGCGUGGGGGAUGACGGCCUUCGGGUUGUAAACUCCUUUCACCAUCGACGCGGUAGAUGGAGAAGAAGCACCGGCUAACUACGUGCCAGCAGCCGCGGUAAUAC